rnacentral:lncRNA from 1 species
CCGGAGCCUGAGAGUGGCAAUGCUGUGGAGAAACCAGCAAGGGCAUUAACUUCCCCUGGGGAAAAUGUGUACAAUCGUAUCAACAAAUCCAUGGAGAUAUGACAAUCACCAGGUGAGUCUGGGUCAACCAGCGUUCUCCAAGAGAGCAACCUGAUUCUGGAGCAACGGGCGCAGCACUGUGCGCAGGGUUUCCAGACAGCAGUGAUCCUCAGUAGCAGAGAUGCGGUGGGAAUAUUAUGUUGCAUCUGCUUCUGACUGCUUCCCAAGCCUUGAUUAUGACACAGAGGAGAAGACAACUUAGCCAUAGUGCCUGGCAAGGCACUGCGUCAGGUCCUGAAGGUACAAGAGUGAACAAGACUGAUAUAUUCCUUCUCCUCAUGAGAAGCAGAUGUGAAACAAAGAAUCCUGGAGGUCAGAAGUCCAAAAUCAAGAAGUUGGCCAGGUUGUGCUCCCCACGAAGGCUCAAGACAUCAGAGCUCCUGGUUCUCGUGCCUUUGGACUCCAGACUAAUACCAGUGGCCCUCCCAGUUCUCAGUCCUUCAGCAUUGGACUGAACGAUACCACCAGCUUUCCUGGUUCUCCAGCUUGCAGAUGGCAGACUGUGGGACUUUGUGGCCUCCACAACCAGGUUCUUCUGGCUGGUCUAAGAAUUCAAUUGACUUGAGACAGAUUAACAGGAGAAAAACCAAAGAAAGCUUAGUAACAUGUAUACAUGGGAGAAACCCAGGAAAACCAAGUAACUCACCAAAAUGGCUGCAGCCCUCAACUUAAAUACCAUCCUCAGCUAAAGACAAAAUAGGAUGCUGGGGGUAAGAAGAGUCAGGGACUUCAAGGGAAGGAAGGCAAAUCACAGCCCUCAGGCAUGCUUCAGUGGAAGAUUUGGGAGAAAUUAUAAUGGUCCCAGCCAAGAAUUUUUAUUAAAAAAGUUUUAAAAAGGGCCAGAAGACUUUCCCCCUUUGAAGCAGAGGAAAACCAACCACUGCAGCCCCCUGUGCCUCCCACCAUCGCCAUCAUCGCCACCACUACCUCUCAGCCUUCUAGUGUGUUCACUGGCUUUCUGAUUCUGGCAUCUUCUUGGAACUUCCUUGCCCCUUGUAACUGCUAAUGGACCUGCGCAGCGACCACGGCCUGAGAAAGGUAUGAUUACCAAGAGAUCAGAUGCCUCAGCAAUGGAAGCUUGAGCCACACCACCAGGUAAGCCAUUGAGUCCUGCCAAGGCGAGGGCUGAGGGUGAGGGGUAAUUUAGAAUGGACGGUGGAGGAGGAAGAGGAUGAGGUCCAGGUGUGGUCCUGAGAUCAAAUGCAGCACCAAGGGCUGUGCUUUAUCCUACUAACUUCCCUUUUUUGAGUUUUUGCCUCAGGAAGAAAGUCCUGUGGGAACCGUGGAGAAGGUGCUCCUCCAACUUCGGUGGAGAUGUAGAUUUGUGCAGCGCCAACAGGAGCAUGUGGUGGCCAUGAAAGUGCAUCUCUCGGAUUUCCUACUUCAGGGAGUAUAGUUGACCCACAGAUCAGCUGCUGUGCUCUGAAAUCUAUCACCACAUUCGCACUGAGGUGGUGCUUUUCCUAGGUUGCUCCCAGCAAAUGACUGAGUGUAGCAGGGAUACUUAGCAGGCCCGUACCUGUAACAUGCUGGCCUCCUCUGAAGGGCCACUUUGCCUCAGGACUGCCCAGAGGCCUGGCUGAAACUUUCUUAGAACUGUGCUGAAGUCUAAGAAGUAACUCCUGACUCUCUUAUUCCCUUCUUCGCUCCCUCCCUAGUUUCUGCUUUCUUCUCUUUCACAUGGGGCAGAACUACAUCAUGGUCUGAUGGCUCCUCCACCAGUUCCUUCUCCAUCUUCCCUCACUGGGAUUUCCUCUAAUAAAUCUCUUGCACAUCUAA